GGCUCAGACGAAACGCUGGCGGCGUGCNUAACACAUGCAAGUCGAACGGAUUUGAGGGGCUUGCUCCUCAAGUUAGUGGCGCACGGGUGAGUAACGCGUAGAUAAUCUGCCUGAUGAUCUGGGAUAACACUUCGAAAGGGGUGCUAAUACCGGAUAAGCCCACGGGGUCUUUGGAUUCUGCGGGAAAAGGGGGGGACCUUCGGGCCUUCUGUCAUCAGAUGAGUCUGCGUACCAUUAGCUAGUUGGUAGGGUAAUGGCCUACCAAGGCUACGAUGGUUAGCUGGUUUGAGAGAAUGAUCAGCCACACUGGAACUGAGACACGGUCCAGACUCCUACGGGAGGCAGCAGUGGGGAAUUUUGCGCAAUGGGCGAAAGCCUGACGCAGCAACGCCGCGUGAGUGAUGAAGGCUUUCGGGUCGUAAAGCUCUGUCGAUGGGAAAGAAGUGUAUUGUGGCUAAUAUCCACGAUACUUGACGGUACCCAUAAAGGAAGCACCGGCUAACUCCGUGCCAGCAGCCGCGGUAAUACGGGGGGUGCAAGCGUUGUUCGGAAUUAUUGGGCGUAAGGAGCGUGUAGGCGGUUUGUUAAGUCUGUUGUGAAAGCCCUGGGCUCAACCCAGGAAGUGCACUGGAUACUGGCAGACUUGAAUACGGGAGAGGGUAGUGGAAUUCCUAGUGUAGGAGUGAAAUCCGUAGAUAUUAGGAGGAACACCGGUGGCGAAGGCGGCUACCUGGACCGAUAUUGACGCUGAGACGCGAAAGCGUGGGUAGCAAACAGGAUUAGAUACCCUGGUAGUCCACGCCGUAAACGAUGAGAACUAGGUGUUGCGGGUAUUGACCCCUGCAGUGCCGCAGCUAACGCAUUAAGUUCUCCGCCUGGGAA
rnacentral:rRNA from 1 species